rnacentral:tRNA from 1 species
AGGACACGUGCCCGAAACACAAGGAUCACUUUGAUAGAGUGAGCAUAGAGGCUAAAAUCCUCUCGUCUCCUU